rnacentral:rRNA from 1 species
AGCAGCCGCGGUAAUUCCAGCUCCAAUAGCGUAUAUUAAAGUUGUUGCAGUUAAAAGCUCGUAGUUGAAUUUCGGGGUCAGUAAGUUGGUCGUGCCACUGGUAUGUACUGGCUUUACUGAUUCCUCCUUCUUGUAGAACUGUGAUGUCAUUAAUUUGGUGUUGCAAGGAAACAGGACUGUUACUUUGAAAAAUUAGAGUGUUUAAAGCAGGCUAACGCUUGAAUACAUUAGCAUGGAAUAAUGAAAUAGGACGUUUCGAUUCUAUUUUGUUGGUUUCUAGGAUUGACGUAAUGAUUAAUAGGGAUAGUUGGGGGCAUUAGUAUUCAAUUGUCAGAGGUGAAAUUCUUGGAUUUAUUGAAGACUAACUACUGCGAAAGCAUUUGCCAAGGAUGUUUUCAUUAAUCAAGAACGAAAGUUAGGGAUCGAAGA